rnacentral:rRNA from 1 species
UACAGAGGUCUCAAGCGUUGUUCGGAUUCAUUGGGCGUAAAGGGUGCGUAGGCGGCGCGGUAAGUCGGGUGUGAAAUCUCGGAGCUUAACUCCGAAACUGCAUUCGAUACUGCCGUGCUUGAGGACUGGAGAGGAGACUGGAAUUUACGGUGUAGCGGUGAAAUGCGUAGAUAUCGUAAGGAAGACCAGUGGCGAAGGCGGGAUCCUGGGCCAGUACUGACGCUCAUGCACGAAAGCGUGGGGAGCGAACAGG